AGCGGCAAAAGCUCAAAUUUGAAAUCUGGUACCUUCGGUGCCCGAGUUGUAAUUUGGAGAGGGCAACUUUGGGGCCGUUCCUUGUCUAUGUUCCUUGGAACAGGACGUCAUAGAGGGUGAGAAUCCCGUGUGGCGAGGAGUGCGGUUCUUUGUAAAGUGCCCUCGAAGAGUCGAGUUGUUUGGGAAUGCAGCUCUAAGUGGGUGGUAAAUUCCAUCUAAAGCUAAAUAUUGGCGAGAGACCGAUAGCGAACAAGUACAGUGAUGGAAAGAUGAAAAGAACUUUGAAAAGAGAGUGAAAAAGUACGUGAAAUUGUUGAAAGGGAAGGGCAUUUGAUCAGACAUGGUGUUUUGUGCCCUCUGCUCCUUGUGGGUAGGGGAAUCUCGCAUUUCACUGGGCCAGCAUCAGUUUUGGUGGCAGGAUAAAUCCAUAGGAAUGUAGCUUGCCUCGGUAAGUAUUAUAGCCUGUUGGGAAUACUGCCAGCUGGGACUGAGGACUGCGACGUAAGUCAAGGAUGCUGGCAUAAUGGUUAUAUGCCGCCCGUCUUGAA
rnacentral:rRNA from 1 species